GAUCAUGUGAUCUAGUGGUGAUGGCGCAGUGGAUAUGACUCAUGCCUUUGGUGUGCGAGACCCGGGUUAAAUUCCCACUGUGAUACAUCACCCAAUGUGUCCCUGAGCAAACACUUAACCCCUAGUUGCUCCAGAGUCACACGACCUCUGACAUACUAUGACAUGCUAUAUAGCAAUGGUAAGUAGCUUUGGAUAAAAGUAUCAGCUAAAUGACAUGUAAUGAGGGGGA